UACGGGGGGGGCAAGCGUUGUUCGGAAUUACUGGGCGUAAAGGGCUCGUAGGCGGCCAACUAAGUCAGACGUGAAAUCCCUCGGCUUAACCGGGGAACUGCGUCUGAUACUGGAUGGCUUGAGAUUGGGAGAGGGAUGCGGAAUUCCAGGUGUAGCGGUGAAAUGCGCAGAUAUCAGGAGGAACACCAAUUGCGAAGGCAGCUUGCUGGGACGUUACUGACGCUGAGACGCGAAAGCGUGGGGAGCAAACAGG
rnacentral:rRNA from 1 species